UAUCUUCCAUAACUAUGUUCUCUUGUACGAACCCGGUAGAAGCAUCAACAACUGUCAUUAACAGCUGUCCUCGCCGUUCACCUAUGCCGCCGAACAGGUGAUCUGGAUCUUGACCUAUGCUGCCGAACAGGUGAUCUGGAUCUUGACCUAUGCUUCCGAACAGGUGAUCUUGACUUAUGCUUCCGAACAGGUGAUUUUGAUCUUGAUCUAUGCUUCCGAACAGGUGAUCUGGAUCUUGACUUAUGCUUCCGAACAGGUGAUCUGGAUCUUGACCUAUGCUUCCGAACAGGUGAUCUGGAUCUUGACCUAUGCUUCCGAACUGGUGAUUUGGAUCUUGACCUUCUUACCCUGCAUAAAAAGGAAACCCUGUAAAUAAACAAGGCACAGCUGUAGUAUAAAUGGGAACCCAUACAAAUUCACCUGAGUAGCUUAUAUUGUUAUAUGAUGAUGGUAGUUUGUCUCAAAAAUAUAAACCUUAAACAUGAUUAACUUAAUGGCAACAAACCUGG
rnacentral:lncRNA from 1 species